AAAUUAAAAAUAAAUUGAGGGGUUAUUAAUUUAUUAUAAUUAUUAAGAGUAAGUUUUAAUAAAUUUUAUAAUUAAAAAAUUAGGUUUUAAAAUAAUUAAAUUUAAAGUAUAUAAAAAUUUAAGUAAAAAUAAAAUUUUUAUUAAUUUAAUUAAAAGAAAAUAAAUUAAAUUUAAUAAGUUAUUUAAGAAAAAAUGAUAAAAUUAGUAAAUAAAAAAUUUAAUAUUAUUGUAAAAAAAAAGGUAUUGACUAAGUUUAAUCAAAGUAAAUUAACUCGGCAAAUAUUUAUAACAUCUGUUUAACAAAAACAUUUUUAUGUGAUUAAAAACAUAAUAAAGUCUGCUCACUGAAAUGAUUUUAAAGAGCUGCAGUAUUUUGACUGUACUAAGGUAGCAUAAUAAAUAGUUUUUUUAUUGAAAACUGGAAUGAACGGCUUAAUGUUUAUAAAACUUUUUUUAUUUUGUUUAUUGAAAUUUAAUUUUAAGUUAAAAUUCUUAAAUUUUUUGAGGGGACGAUAAGACCCUAAAAUCUUAUAUUUAAUUUUUAAUUAUUAUUUAAUAAAAUUUUUAAUUUUUAUUGGGGCGAUAAAUUAAAUGUAAAAUUUAAUGUUUAGUUUAAUCAAUUUAUAUGAGUGAGUUUAACAUUAGGUAAAAUAAAAUAAAGUUACUUUAGGGAUAACAGGGUAAAUAUUAUGGAAAGAUCAUAUUUAUAUAAUAAUUUGCUACCUCGAUGUUGAAUUAAAAUUAAUAAUGAAGUAGAAAUUAUUAUGAAUAAGUCUGUUCGACUUUUAGAAUUUUACAUGAUUUGAGUUCAGACCGAUGUAAAUCAGGUUAGAUUCUAUCUUUUAAUAGAAAUUAUAAUAAAUUUUAGUACGAGAGGAUUAUUUUUAUAUAAAAUUUGUAAUUUAUCUAUAAAUAUAAUUUGAAUUGGUUAAGUUAUUUUUAUUAUUAAU
rnacentral:rRNA from 1 species